rnacentral:rRNA from 1 species
CGGAUUUAUUGGGUUUAAAGGGUGCGCACGCGGCGCGGUAAGUCAACGGUAAAAGCCCGGGGCUCAACCC